rnacentral:rRNA from 1 species
AUUGAACGCUGGCGGCAUGCUUUACACAUGCGAGUCGAACGGUAACAGGCCGCCAGGUGCUGACGAGUGGCGAACGGGUGAGUAAUGCAUCGGAACGUGCCCAGUCGUGGGGGAUAACUACUCGAAAGAGUAGCUAAUACCGCAUACGAUCUAUGAAUAACAGCGGGGGACCGCAAGGCCUCGCCCGAUUGGAGCGGCCGAUGUCAGAUUAGGUAGUUGGUGGGGUAAAGGCUCACCAAGCCAACGAUCUGUAGCUGGUCUGAGAGGACGACCAGCCACACUGGGACUGAGACACGGCCCAGACUCCUACGGGAGGCAGCAGUGGGGAAUUUUGGACAAUGGGCGCAAGCCUGAUCCAGCAAUGCCGCGUGCAGGAAGAAGGCCUUCGGGUUGUAAAGUGCUUUUGUACGGAAAGAAACGUCUCUGGUUAAUACCCGGGGCUAAUGACGGUACCGUAAGAAUAAGCACCGGCUAACUACGUG